GAUGAACGCUGGCGGCGUGCCUAAUACAUGCAAGUCGAGCGAACAGACUAGGAGCUUGCUCCUCUGACGUUAGCGGCGGACGGGUGAGUAACACGUGGAUAACCUACCUAUAAGACUGGGAUAACUUCGGGAAACCGGAGCUAAUACCGGAUAAUAUAUUGAACCGCAUGGUUCAAUAGUGAAAGACGGUUUUGCUGUCCCUUAUAGAUGGAUCCGCGCCGCAUUAGCUAGUUGGUAAGGUAACGGCUUACCAAGGCAACGAUGCGUAGCCGACCUGAGAGGGUGAUCGGCCACACUGGAACUGAGACAAGGUCCAGACUCCUACGGGAGGCAGCAGUAGGGAAUCUUCCGCAAUGGGCGCAAGCCUGACGGAGCAACGCCGCGUGAGUGAUGAAGGUCUUCGGAUCGUAAAACUCUGUUAUUAGGGAAGAACAAAUGUGUAAGUAACUAUGCACGUCUUGACGGUACCUAAUCAGAAAGCCACGGCUAACUACGUG
rnacentral:rRNA from 1 species